rnacentral:rRNA from 1 species
CAGUUUAACGGCCGCGGUACCCUAACCGUGCGAAGGUAGCAUAAUCACUUGUUUCUUAAAUAGAGACUAGUAUCAACGGCAUCACGAAGACUAUACUGUCUCCCCCCUAAAAUCAAUGAAACUGAUCUCCUCGUGAAGAAGCGAGGAUGUAUAUAUAAGACGAGAAGACCCCAUGGAGCUUUAAACGAACUUCAAUUGUUCCUACACAUAACAUACAAAUUGAACAUCCCUGAUAGUUAGUUUUAGGUUGGGGUGACCGCGGAGUAAAACAAAACCUCCACAAUGAAUGUAAUAAAAUUCUUAUAAAAGAACCACAAUUCAAAUAAUCAAAAAUUUGACAUAAAUUGACCCAAACACUUGAUCAAUGAACCAAGUUACCCUGGGGAUAACAGCGCAAUCCAUUUUAAGAGCCCAUAUCAACAAAUGGGUUUACGACCUCGAUGUUG